GACGAACGCUGGCGGCGUGCUUAACACAUGCAAGUCGAACGAUGAAGCCGGAGCUUGCUCUGGUGAAUUAGUGGCGAACGGGUGAGUAACACGUGAGUAACCUGCCCUUGACUCUGGGAUAACUGCUAGAAAUGGUAGCUAAUACCGGAUACGACCCUCGGCGGCAUCGCCAGGGGGUGGAAAGAAUUUCGGUCAAGGAUGGACUCGCGGCCUAUCAGCUAGUGGGUGAGGUAACGGCCCACCAAGGCGACGACGGGUAGCCGGCCUGAGAGGGUGACGGGCCACACUGGGACUGAGACACGGCCCAGACUCCUCUGGGAGGCAGCAGUGGGGAAUAUUGCACAAUGGGCGCAAGCCUGAUGCAGCAACGCCGCGUGAGGGAUGACGGCCUUCGGGUUGUAAACCUCUUUUAGUAGGGAAGAAGCGAAAGUGACGGUACCUGCAGAAAAAGCACCGGCUAACUACGUGCCAGCAGCCGCCGUAA
rnacentral:rRNA from 1 species